rnacentral:rRNA from 1 species
CCCUUAGAUGUUCGGGGCCGCACGCGCGCUACACUGAAUGAAUCAGCGAGUGUAUGUCCUAGGCCGAAAGGGUUGGGAAACCCGUUGAAUCUCCUUCGUGAUAGGGAUUGGGGCUUGAAAUUGUUCCCCAUGAACGAGGAAUUCCCAGUAAGCGCGAGUCAUAAGCUCGCGUUGAUUACGUCCCUGCCCUUUGUACACACCGCCCGUCGCUACUACCGAUUGAACGGUUUAGUGAGGGCCUCGGAUUGGUCUCGGCCCGCUCUUUACCGGGCGGCGCCGUUGGUCGAGAAGACGCUCGAACUUGAUCGUUUAGAGGAAGUAAAAGUCGUAACA